rnacentral:rRNA from 1 species
UAUCCUACGGGGCGCAGCAGUGAGGAAUAUUGGUCAAUGACCGAGAGGCUGAACCAGCCAAGUCGCGUGAGGGAAGACGGCCCUACGGGUUGUAAACCUCUUUUGUCGGGGGGCAAAGAGAGUCACGUGUGGCUCAUUGAGAGUACCCGAAGAAAAAGCAUCGGCUAACUCCGUGCCAGCAGCCGCGGUAAUACGGAGGAUGCGAGCGUUAUCCGGAUUUAUUGGGUUUAAAGGGAGCGUAGGCGGUCGGGUAA